rnacentral:tRNA from 1 species
GGACGCAUAGCUCAGCUGGUUAGAGCGCCUCGUUUACACCGAGGAGGUUCGUAGGUUCGAGUCCUACUGCGUCCACCA